rnacentral:rRNA from 1 species
UACGGGGGGGGCAAGCGUUGUUCGGAAUUACUGGGCGUAAAGGGCGCGUAGGCGGCCUUCUAAGUCGGACGUGAAAUCCCUCGGCUUAACCGAGGAACUGCGUCCGAUACUGAAAGGCUUGAAUCCUGGAGAGGGAUGUGGAAUUCCAGGUGUAGCGGUGAAAUGCGUAGAUAUCUGGAGGAACACCGGUGGCGAAGGCGGCAUCCUGGACCGGCAUUGACGCUGAGGCGCGAAAGCUAGGGGAGCAAACGGG